CGGCCCCGGCCCCGGCUCCGGCAGCGGCGGCGGCGGCGGGGCAGGGCGAGGCCGAGCCGGCGGCCACCCCCUACGUGGGGCUGCGGCGGCCGCUUGGCUACAAGCUGGCCAAGGCCACCAAGGAGCGGAUCUGGCGGGGGGAGUUCAUUGACCUGUUUUCCUUGCUCCACACAGAGCUGGCCCCCGAGCACGGCCCGCGCCCGGGGGACACGCUGGACCAGUGGGUCUCGGCCUUCCUGGUGUACGCCAGCGUGCUGUGCGAGAAGCACCCGGCGCGCUGCGGAGCCAUGUUCAAGUACCUGGACACCAUCCGCAAGCUGCACGCCACCUACGGGGGCACCUCCUGGAUGAACUACGAUGAGGAUUUCCGGCGGCGGGCGGCCAAGAACCCCUCACUGCCCUGGGGCGACGUCGACUUGGACCUGUGGAUGAAGUGGAUGGCGCCCCUCAAGUCGCUCGUCCCCAGGCGCCCGCGUGCUGAGAGCGAGAGACAGGCCUCGCCGGCCCAGCCGCCACCGCCGGGCCAGAGCCCCAAGCAGGAGGACAAAAGCCAGACCCCAUGAAAACAGAAGACCAGUUGGGAUGGGAGUCAGACUAAGUGGGUCAGCUGAGGAUUUCACUGGUGUGAGAAGAUGUAUGGCUGGUGUGAAUCAGCAAAGCUGGCCCUGCACUGCACUCAUCUGGCCCUCUGCCAGCAUCAGAGCUGUGCCUGCUUGAAAGCAAGAGGUCACCCUCAGUGCACUGCUGAAAUAUGCCUGCUGUUGGCAGGAGGGUCCCUACUGCAGAGCAGUGAAUUUCAACGCAGUCCUCAGGAGCAGCCUGGCAGCAGCUCAUGGGUAUGAAGGCACUUUGUCAUUCUCCUCAGGACGUGCUGAACAAAUCUUAGCCAAGCAAUGGAAAUGAGGCAUGUUUCCAAGUCUUGUCAGUGAGUUCCAGGGAAGUGCUUGCCAGUAACUCUGUGUGUGCUCCCACUCUGCCUUGCUAAGAGAUGUGUUUCAGCCUCUCCUGGAGAGGGAUGAACUUUUUCAGCUUGCAAAGUACCUGUAACUACUCUGGCUGAGCCUCAGACUGAUUUUUCAUCUCCUUAAACAAACCAAGAGAUUAAAAGAAAAAGCACUCUCAGUCUGUUUAAGCUGAAAUUUUGUUCUUCUGAAAAAAUAAAUAUUUCCUUUUAAGUAAAAAAAAUUCUAGA
rnacentral:lncRNA from 1 species